rnacentral:rRNA from 1 species
GGGUCAGUAGGCUGGUCGUGCCACCGGUACGUACUGGUCUCACUGCUUCCUCCUUCCUGAAGAACCGUAAUGCCAUUAAUUUGGUGUAGCGGGGAAACAGGACUGUUACUUUGAAAAAAUUAGAGUGUUUAAAGCAAGCUAACGCUUGAAUACCUUAGCAUGGAAUAAUGAAAUAGGACGAUCGAUCCUAUUUUGUUGGUUUCUAGGAUUGACGUA